rnacentral:rRNA from 1 species
UACGGGGGGAGCAAGCGUUGUUCGGAUUUACUGGGCGUAAAGGGCGCGUAGGCGGCCACCGCAAGUCAGUUGUGAAAUCUCCGAGCUUAACUCAGAAAGGUCAACUGAUACUGCGGGGCUAGAGUGCGGAAGGGGCAACUGGAAUUCUUGGUGUAGCGGUGAAAUGCGUAGAUAUCAAGAGGAACACCUGCGGCGAAGGCGGGUUGCUGGGCCGACACUGACGCUGAGGCGCGAAAGCUAGGGGAGCGAACGGG